UGUUCCUACUUCCGCAAACAAACAAACAGGUGUGUCGUCAUCACGGCAGACUUGGUGACAGACGACUAUUUUUGGACGAAUUAGGAUUCACAACCUUUUCUUUUGAGCCAAACUAAGCAGAAUUAUUGAAGUACUUAAGUCAACAGUAAACGUCCGCAGCCAGCUUGACAGAACACACUAGUGACCACGGAGUGUAAGCAUCCGACGGUCGGUGGCGGCCGGUGGGAGGAGGCAAGAGCUGCAGGAGGUAUGACGCAAACUCUCCGCUCAUGUCUACGAGGAGCAGCGGGGCAGGGCACGCUGGAGCCCGGCCCAAGAUGGCGGCAAGGAGGCGUAGAGGCGGGGCGUGCCGGGAGCGACGCUGCAAUCUAAUACAGGUGCGUGGAUCGCGCACCGGCACACGAUCAACUUAUCUCCUCUGGCUGUAUAAAAGGGCAGCAGCGGAGGAGGGUGAGACAGAAGGAUGAGGAGAGCCCGCAGCAGAACCUGAAGAGCGAGAACAACAGAGAGCGAGACACGAGAGACGGAGACGCGGCCGGCUGAAAAGCGACCGAGGAGCGAGCAGCGGAGAAGGAACUGAAAAGCGACCAUGCCGGAAGACAGCUUGCUAUUGAAAAAUAAACGAGAGUCAAACCUG